UCUCCGUUGGUGAACCAGCGGAGGGAUCAUUAUCGAGUUUAUAACUCCCAAACCCUAUGUGAACUUACCACUUGUUGCUUCGGCGCGCGCUUCGGCGCCGCCGAGGACACUUGAACUCUUUGUUUUUAUAAGCAUUUCUGAGUGGCCGAAAGGCAAAAUACAAAUGAAUCAAAACUUCCAACAACGGAUCUCUUGGUUCUG
rnacentral:misc_RNA from 1 species